rnacentral:tRNA from 1 species
GCCUCGAUAGCUUAACCCCUAAAGCACUGGUCUUGUAAACCAGAGAUUGGGGGAUAAAACCCCCUCGAAGCU